ensembl:lncRNA
ACUCAUCUCCAUCAGCAGCCUUGGGUUUGGUGGGGCUUGCCACUGGUCAGCUUGACCUUUAUAGCAUUUGCUCGCAGCCCUGAAGGUGUACAAACUGGAUGUCUCAUGAUUAUGUCCAGAGUGGUUAUCAAGUUUCUGAGCAGAAAGCUCAACUGAUCAAAGAGAAGGAAGCAAUUUGCCGAAUGCCCAGGACUCCAGUGCAGAGCUACCUCCAAGCUGGCAGUGUGUGACUGCUUAGACAAUGUCUGUGCCAGGUAGCCAAACAUAAAGGAGGAACCAUUGAAUGAUGCUGAGGAAUCCUGAAUUCAUCGAUGGAAGCAGUUUUGUGGGACAAGGAAAUCAUAAGGCAGGAUAUGCAGUAACUGCUGCUGACCAGGUUCCUGUAGUAAACAAACUUGUGCUUGCUAGGCACUAUCUUGAGGAAUGUGUAUCCAAAUCUUGUCCUUAUCAAAAGUUACCUGAGCUCCUAGCUUGUUCAACAAAUUCCAUCUCAUAGGAGGUGUGCUUCUGCUUGCAGGAUGCCUGCCAUUGCCAGCGUGAACAAAAUCUGCUUAUAUCAGAGAUACCGUCCUGAUAAAUUAUUUGGAUAUUUCCAACACCUGAUAACAGUCUCUGGCCUAAAAUUGUUCAGUUAAAGAUAGGGCUAAUCUCCCUACAUGAAGGCUAAUUUUUCCAGGAUGCUCCUAUCUCAAAGAAAGUUUAGUCAUCACAUUGUGAUCAAGAGUUCCUCUCCUUAAUCACCUUAGCACUUUCAAGCGUGGUCAUCCUGACCUAGAUAAAAUACAUGUUUGUUGUAUUUAAUGAUAAAGAUACAAAGACUUGUAACCUUUGUAGGUUAGUUCUUACCUGACUGACAUUAUGUUUGACAUUGUUUUGAAGAAGUAAUAAAACAAAAUAUUCUGUUAAUAUAUCCUUAUAAGGGUAGCCACUGAAUUUUAUAAUAUGAUUAAUGCUUGCCUACAAGACCAUAGUAGCCUUUAGAUAUUGUGGAUGAUAACUGUGAUGUACCACUGAAGAUGUGGAAGCAUGUUAUAAGACUGUUCUGUUUAACAAGGCAAAAGAAAACACAACAAUGGAAAAACUGUGCCUGUUUUACAGUCCUUAUAAAUGUCAAAAGGAACAGGGACCCCCACACCAGGCCCAAUUAGCCUAAAAUGCGACUGACAAGCAUCAAGACAUUCCCCUUUAUAUUUCUUAUCUGUCUGUGCAGUCUCCUCUUGUUGGCCUUGCAUUCCACAGCAAUCUUUGGUUGAGACAGAAGGAGUGUUUUUAAAAGACAAAGACUGUUGGAUGAAAUAAGCGAGGCUAUCUAUCCCAAGCCCAAGGACUAACAGUGGACCAUCACGAUACUAGAAGGACCCUAGAUGACAUGGAAGAUGGAACGUUACGAAUAUGUAAUACAUGUGACAGAUUAUAGUGCAGGAACGAUCAACCAGUGGAGCAUUUUUGAAGAGUUAUCCCAAUGUUAUCCCAGUGCUGCCAAUAAGAAUAUGUGAUUUAAGGUAAUAAGACUUUUGCUGUUAAGUCUCUCUGCACAGAUUUUUUCAGAUCAACUUUUUUAGUAUUAUAUUAGCAUUAUUUCUAAGUUCCCCUGAGAAGCAUUAAAGUACAUAUCACAGACAGCACACUUAUCUCAAAUAAUUCCAAACUGCUUUACAAUAAAAAUUUUCAGG